rnacentral:rRNA from 1 species
UACGUAGGGUGCAAGCGUUGUCCGGAAUUAUUGGGCGUAAAGAGCUCGUAGGCGGUCUGUCGCGUCGGCUGUGAAAACUCGGGGCUCAACUCCGAGCUUGCAGUCGAUACGGGCAGGCUAGAGUUCGGCAGGGGAGACUGGAAUUCCUGAUGUAGCGGUGAAAUGCGCAGAUAUCAGGAGGAACACCGAUGGCGAAGGCAGGUCUCUGGGCCACUACUGACGCUGAGAAGCGAAAGCAUGGGGAGCAAACAGG